rnacentral:rRNA from 1 species
UACGAAGGGUGCAACCGUUGCUCGGAAUUAUUGGGCGUAAAGCGCACGUAGGCGGCUUGGCAAGUCGGAUGUGAAAGCCCUCGGCUCAACCAAGGAAGUGCAUUCGAAACUGCUGAGCUUGAGUACUUAAGAGGAUCGCGGAAUUCCCGGUGUAGAGGUGAAAUUCGUAGAUAUCGGGAGGAACACCAGUGGCGAAGGCGGCGAUCUGGGAAGAUACUGACGCUGAGGUGCGAAAGCGUGGGGAGCAAACAGG